rnacentral:lncRNA from 1 species
UUCAUAGUGUUACAGGAGCUGAGACUGCCGAGUGCUGAGCUGAGACUAGAAGGAAAGCGGAUCUUUCAGAGAGGAAGUCAACCCCAGAACCAGUGAGGACGCACAGGCCCAUGAAGAGGUUGCUGAAUUGAGGACGGCAUGAAGAGAAAGCUGUGUUGCUGAUCAGUUGAGAGGAUACAGAAUCUCUUUCAUCCCACCCAUUGAGCUAGAACAUCAGUAGAAACCAUCAUUGGCAUUAUGUUGGCUUUAACAGAUGUACCUGCAUUGUGGCAAGAUGCCCCUCCAGGUAGAUGCAGCAACGUUUAAGCACUUGACAGCCAGGAGGGAGAUCUGAAGAUUCUCAAGGAGAGCUUUCAGUACAGCGGCUGAGUUGUUUUCCAAGAACUCAGAGGUCCCCGAGGAUGUACUUGUAGGGGACAAGGAAGAUUGGUGGUCUCUGUACUCUGGGGGCUACCCCCAACUUUGAAUAGAUCAGUUAUGUUUCCCUUUG